UCUGUGGCUCCUCUGCGUCAGGGAAUAUUUCCUACCUAUGAGUAGGUUUCUUUUGCUUUGCUCUCUUUCUUAGUGUAGCCAACAUGUUCUGUAAUCUGUACUAUGUUACAGUGUCUUUUUGGUUUAUCGUCAGAAGAGAACUAAAAUUGCCUGAGUCAUAUGAUUCGUUCGACCGAUGCCUUCUACAUUCCCAAUGGCAUCGCUUUGUUGGAUAGACUUUUGCAAGUUCGGCGGCAGGUUUUCACUAUGAAUCUUUGCCUUAUGAGGCUAUCUUUGGUUUGAUAUCUCAUCUUCUGUUUAAGGUUGGUGAAAGUUAUUCAUAUGCUAAGGCAUAUGCUUAUAGGUACCAGUUUCAAUUUUCAAAAGGUAAUUUUAAGUACAUCAAAGAUUCAGUAGUAAGUUAGAAUGUUUAAGGUUGCAGGAGGUGCUUGUGAAAUUGGACCCACUUCUGGAAUAUGUAAGAGACUGUCUUCUACACUCGUGGAGCAAACUGGGCGAGAGAGAUUUUUUUUUUUUUAAAUAGCUAUAAAUCUAUAAUUGAAGCUUGAAGGAAAGGUGUGUAUGAUUAGUACUCCAAGAUUGUUUCUUUCUUCAAUAUCUUUUUCACUUUCUAAAUAUUCCUCUACUCUUUAUUUUUUUUUUGAAAUUUAGAAGCUCACUAUGAAUGUGAUUGAUUGAUAGUGACAUCAAAAACUUGCUAAAUUAUCGCUGACAGAAUUUGUUAUGUGUCAG
rnacentral:lncRNA from 1 species